rnacentral:rRNA from 1 species
UGGGGAAUCUUGCGCAAUGGGCGAAUGCCUGACGCAGCGACGCCGCGUGUGGGAUGAAGGCCUUCGGGUUGUAAACCACUGUCGGGAGGGACGAAGGCCCGGCGGCGAAUAGCCGACCGGGAUUGACGGUACCUCCAAAGGAAGCACCGGCUAACUCCGUGCCAGCAGCCGCGGUAAUACGGAGGGUGCGAGCGUUGUCCGGAAUCACUGGGCGUAAAGGGCGCGUAGGCGGCUGGGUAAGUCACGUGUGAAAUUCCGGGGCUCAACUCCGGAACGGCAGGUGGGACUGCCCGGCUAGAGCACGGUAGAGGCGAGCGGAAUUCCAGGUGUAGCGGUGGAAUGCGUAGAUAUCUGGAAGAACACCGGUGGCGAAGGCGGCUCGCUGGACCGUUGCUGACGCUGAGGCGCGAAAGCGUGGGGAGCAAACAGG